CCGUGAAAAAAUUAGAGUGUUCAAAGCAGGCAGAUCCAAUUUUCUGCCACCGAAUACAUUAGCAUGGGAUAAUGGAAUAGGACCCUGUCCUCCUAUUUUCAGUUGGUUUUGGCAGCGCGAGGACUAGGGUAAUGAUUAAUAGGGAUAGUUGGGGGCAUUAAUAUUUAAUUGUCAGAGGUGAAAUUCUUGGAUUUAUGAAAGAUUAACUUCUGCGAAAGCAUCUGCCAAGGAUGUUUUCAUUAAUCAAGAACGAAAGUUAGGGGAUCGAAGACGAUCAGAUACCGUCGUAGUCUUAACCAUAAACGAUGCCGACCAGCGAUUAGGAGACGUUGAAUACAAAACACCACCAUCGGUGCGGUCGUCCUUGGCGGUUGGUCUUCAAAAGCCAGCGGCGGGGGCGGCUUAGCCCGGUGGCACCGGUGAAUGACUCCCUAGCAGC
rnacentral:rRNA from 1 species